AGUGGACGCUGGCGGUAGGCCUAACACAUGCAAGUCGAACGGCAGCACAGUAAGAGCUUGCUCUUACGGGUGGCGAGUGGCGGACGGGUGAGGAAUACAUCGGAAUCUACUUUUUCGUGGGGGAUAACGUAGGGAAACUUACGCUAAUACCGCAUACGACCUACGGAUGAAAGCAGGGGAUCUUCGGACCUUGCGCGAUUGAAUGAGCCGAUGUCGGAUUAGCUAGUUGGCGGGGUAAAGGCCCACCAAGGCGACGAUCCGUAGCUGGUCUGAGAGGAUGAUCAGCCACACUGGAACUGAGACACGGUCCAGACUCCUACGGGAGGCAGCAGUGGGGAAUAUUGGACAAUGGGCGCAAGCCUGAUCCAGCCAUACCGCGUGGGUGAAGAAGGCCUUCGGGUUGUAAAGCCCUUUUGUUGGGAAAGAAAAGCAGCAGGUUAAUACCCCGCUGUUCUGACGGUACCCAAAGAAUAAGCACCGGCUAACUUCGUG
rnacentral:rRNA from 1 species